AACCUAGCACACCUGCGGUGUGUACCUGCGGAGGGAUCAUUACAGAGAUUGAUGCACCAAGUGCAUCACCUCCAACCCCUUGCGAAAACAACUAUCAUGUGUUGCUUUGGCAGUGUUUCCACUGCCAGAGGUUUACAUAAAAUCAGCUGUUGGAUGUUGUCUGAGUAAACUAUAUGAAUUAUUUAAAACUUUUAACAACGGAUCU
rnacentral:misc_RNA from 1 species